GUUAAAAGCCCCUCGGAUCUGUGCUGGGCCUGGCCACUCUGUGGACACCCUUGCCAAGCUCCACCUUUAGCUGGCAUGUCCGUGCUCUUGGGCUUCUCUCUGACCAGUGCAUUUUCUGUUCCUAUAACAAUACCACGGACUGGGUAAUUUAUAAUGAAAAUAAAUGUAUUUCUUAUAGUUCUGGAGGCUGGGAAGUCCAAGGGCGAGGGGCUGGCAUCUGGUAAAGGCCUUCUUGCCACACCAUUCCAUGGGGGAAGAUGGAAGAGCAAGAGGACACACAGCAAGAGACAGCUAAAUUCAUUUUUACAACACAUGCUCAUGAUAACGAACCCACUCUGAUAAUGACAUUAAUGCAUUCAUCAAGGCAGAACCCUCAUGGCCUAAUCGCUUCUUAAUGGUUCCACCUCUUAAUACCAUCACAAUGGCAAUUAAAUUUCAACAUGAAUUUUGGAGGGAACAUCCAAACCAGAGCACUGUUGACUGAGUUUUCAUUUUUUAUUUUAGUAAUUGCUUUUUAAAAAAUUUCCAGGGUCUCUGACUGGUUCUUUUUUAUAAACUACCUGUUCUUGUUUCAUAAGUGCCUCUUCAUAUGUUAUGGUUUAUUUCAAAAGUCGUCUUUAGGUCUGAGAUUUUGAUUAUAUGUGUUCUAAAGUCCUUUUCUGAUUUUUCUGUUGCCUCUGUCUCAGGUGUAAGUUUGGGUUGAGUGGCCUGUUUUCCUUCACACUGUGUUGCUGCCCUGGGCAGGUGAUUCUCAGUUGUGCCUUACCUUUACAUCUGGAGUUUCCUAAUGUUCUGUGCAAAGCAUCUGGCCUUAGGAGAGAAACACCACCAAUAAGUCCCAGUUAGAGUAGGGAUGGCAGAGAAACACUCUGGGAGACAAGUCUGGACUGAACCUGUCAUGGCCUGAGGGACUUAGAAAACCUUAUUUGGACCUCCAGGGCCUAGAAAUUUGCAUGGGUCUCCUUCACUGUUUUUUCAGGCUUCAGCUUUCUAAUCUAUCUCUGUAGAAACCAG
rnacentral:lncRNA from 1 species